UCGAAUAAGUGAGUUAAAAAAAUUUAGGUAUCUCUCCUUCACGCAUACACAUCUUUUUCACGCAAAAGACCCACGUCGCUUUGCAGACUCCCAGCCGUCAUCCACCAUUCACGAAACCAUGAGUCUUACCUCCGUCGUCCGCAUCGAUCUGCUGCCACCAUUUAGUUUUUCUUUACCCUCCAUCCGACUUUCGAAGGUUGUUCAGCAGAUCUCGCCGUUGUCAUCUCAUUCGGUUCAUCCUCUCCGUGUUUUCGUCGCACAACGUGUCAUUGUUGUUGCUGGUCCGCCGACGUCUAGAGCGCUGGUGCAGGUUUGUCGCUAGAAUUUGAUAACAUUCGGUAGGUGCUCCAGUUUUGGGUAAGUUGAUGUGUAUUUGGUGAGUUUCUGGAAAUAUCUUCGAUGCCCAUUAAAUUUGGCUCAUUUUUAUUGAUACCCAAUGUUAUUAUCACCUAAAUUGAUCAACCCAUGAUUGUUUUGAGGAAGUUGGCAUGUUAUUUCAACCUUAGUUUAGUCAACAUCAGUCAAGAUUAGCCUAUUAAACUAGAUUAGCUCAUGUUUGAAGUUGUGAAGUUGGAAAUUUGGAGUAGUGGAGUUGAAGUUGCGGAGUUGUGCAGAUUCUGAAAAUUUGGUGCCGUUUGGAAUUUGGAAUUGUGGCGAAGUUGACGUUUGGAAUGUGGAUUUUGCAUAUUUUAUCGUUCGUAAGCUAGGUAUCCAAGUUAUUAAAUUUUAGGUUAAACACUUGUUUGGAGUCGAUUACCGUAAAAAAAAACAUCAACAUAAACUUAAUGGUUGAUGAACAACAAAAACCAAUAAAAAUAGAUUUCUUGACGUUUUAAAGAUGAAAAACAUCACUAUUACCCUAUAUUGAUGUUCGGAGCAUAUCAACAAAGAUUGUGUCUUGAUGGACCUUUUCAUAUACUUGAUGGAUAAAAAUGUCAAGGUCUCAUUUCAUGAUGGCGAAAAACAUCAAGAAAGGGUUUAAGGUGACAUGUUUUGACCAUCAAAAACUGAUUUUCUUGAUUGACAAACUUUCUUGAUGUCUGCCUAAUUGAUGAGUUUUGGUCGACAUUUCUUUUAUUAUUUUUGUACAUAAAAAAAAAGGUCAAAAUUGUAGUAGUGCUUGGAUGCCUUGUCAUCCUUGUUUUCUUUGUAAGUGUGGCCAUAAAUCAUUCAAUUCUAAUGUUUUUAGAACAUAUAAUAUAUUCAAUAUAGACUUUAUUAUACCUUUAGAUUUUUAUCUUCGUUGUUUGUUUUGUUUGUCAUUUUUCAUGUUUCAAGGAAAGCUGAAAAAUUUAGAAACCAAUAUAAAUUAUUUUAAUGUACAUAAGUUUUUUACACAUGCAUGUAUCAUAUAUUAAUAUAUAUACUUUUCUCGAAGAGGCACAUGAUCGUCUUGUUUGUAUGAUAGUAUAUGAGAUAUAUCAUAUAAUAUAUACAACAUAAGUUGUACCUUGUAUCAUAUGUACUGUAUGUUUUUAAGGUUAUUAAAAUUAUCAAAAUAUGUGUUGUUACCUCAUUAGUCUCUUCAUCUACAAACAGUCUUUGCGUCUUCACAAAUGACCUCCUGAAUAGUUUUUCGAUAGUUUAUAGUAGAUUAGUUAUAUAUAUAUAUAUAUAUAUAUAUAUAUAUAUAUAUAUAUUCCAUUUUCAUAUAUUUAAUAAACAUCAGUAUGUAUUGGUUUAUAUGAAGAUACCUCAUCCAUUAAUUCUUUCUUCAAGCUCACUCCAUCGUUCCCCAAUAGCAUCUACUUCAGGAUUCUCCCCGUAGAUGUAUACAAUUAAUGCUGAAUUUCAAGAAAAAUAAAUAAUUUAACGAAAUUAAACUGAGGAAGUCUUUUAUUAGGAGAUGUACCUAAAGGAAUAUAUGUAUGGAACUAUUUGUGUCUCAAAUGUUUCCAAAUCAUCUUCUACUUGAAUCUCGUCCUUGGGUAGUAUGACUCUCAAUGAUAUAAAUUCAUUUGUCACAUCUCCUAACAGCCAGCCAGUCGAAGAAGUCGGUAGAAUUGUUUUUUCUUUUUUUUUUUCAAAUUCUUCUUUUUUCCUUAUUUGUGUUGUGGGAUUUGUUUGUCUAUCACACUUUAAAUGUUUGAAGGAGUUGAGUUGAGUUGGUAUAUUAUACCAACUCACCCAAACUCUUCAUUCUUCUAAUGUUUUUAAUGGGUUCACUCAUUAACUACCAUUGACAAUUAUAUUGCCACACUUCAAGAACCAACUUUAGAGACUACUUUCACAUGUUCAACUUUGAUGAUUGAUUUCGGGCUCCAGCAACCACCUCUGACAAACAACACUCUUCAACAACAUCACCUCUGUGUGACCAACUUCGACGAUCAAUUUUGGACUUUGGUAACUAUUUCCAAUAAUAUUGACGAAAAUCAACUUCGAUGACCAACUUUGCAAUACGAAUUUCAAGCUCCAACAACAAACUCUUGUGACCAACUCCAAGAUCACCUUUGUGCUACCAACUUCUGUCUUUGACAACCACCUACAACUAGCUACAAACUUUGGUGAAAAUCACCUUUGUUAACAACCAACUUAACUUCGGGCUCCAACAAGUACCUCUACAAUAAAGUUCAACUAAAAUUAAUUUUUAAUAAUAAACUUCAAUAACAAGUGACAACCACCUCUAACAAUCAAUACCGACAUUUAUCUUAGGCGACCAAGAAAGACAAAAACCAGCUUUAUCGAUCAACUUCAACAACAAUCACAUAUGGCAGCCAACUUUGACAAUUGUCUUGAACAACUAACUCCAACCACCAACUUUAUUGUUCAUUUUCAAUGAUUAACUUGACUUAUAUACUAUAUAUAUAAAAAUGAACUUGACGAACAUAAGUGCAUUUAAAUACAAACUUGAAAUGAUUGGUGUUUAAAUGAUUAAUAGUCGUUUAAGGAUGAUCAAGUCAUUCUUAUAGAUUUAUUUGUCACAAGCAUCAAUCAAUUGCUUCUUAGCACCGGUGCAACCAAUGAAGAUGUACUAUUUGUACUUGCUAUAUAGGACUAACAUACUUAACUAUUUAAAAGAAUAUUUUUUUUUGUAUGCAUAGAAUUGGUUUUUUGUUGACCACACUAUUAUAUUUUUAGUUAAUUGCAUUCACAUAUCAAAUGUGUUGAGGAUUUGAAAAAAUAUGUAUUGCAUGGUAGAACAAAAAUAAAGCAAAAACAAACAAAAAUAACAAAUAACAACAAAAAAAAUCAUAAAAUAGAGAAUUUUUUAGAACAUUUUCUAGCCAUAGUGAGUGAAAAAAAUGAAUAUAUGCUCUUUGAUGAUUCUCCAAAUUUGGAGGAAUUGAAUGCGGAAUUGUUUUAAAAAAUAUAGUGGCAUUUCAUUGAUUGAUAAUAUGAUAGAAGAAAUUCGAUUAAAAUAAAUCACGAGAGAGGAAAAAUACACAGCAACAAUAGGAAGAAAGAAGAAAAAUAAAAAGUUGAAAUUCAUAAAAAAAUUAAGAACAAAAAGUUUUGAAUUUUCUUUCGUUAUACAUUUUAUUUAUCUAUGUUGUGCAAGAAAUGUAGCGUAUUGUUGUUUAUUACGAAAAAGAAAGGAAAAAAAAAGAAAAACAUAAAAAAACAAAAUAAUAAAAAUGCAAUCCAUAUUUUAUUCAAGUAAAGUGCGAAGAAUAUUUUAUUGAUAUCUUUUAAUCUAUAUUUUACAUGAGAAGUAUGAGAAUAUAUAUAAAUUUAUAUUGCAAUUAGGAUUAAUUACAUCAUUUUCCUUAUUUACUUGUAUUGGUUUGUAUAUUUAUCUUCUCAUGUAAAAUAUAUAUUAAAAGAUAUCAAUAAAAUAUUCUUCACAUGGUAUCAUUUAACCUAGCUUCCCUCCUGACGGCGUUAACCCUGUACGAGAUCUGUACCCGUGGCUGUUGACCAAGACUAUACCAGAUCCCGUCGACCAAUCUUGCAUCAGACAUCGUCGGCUAGUCCUCUCUCAAAUAUAUCAUACACCAUCGGCUAGUCUUCUCCUAGAUCCAUUCGCCAUGGUCUGGCCAAAUUUGUUCGACUUGCUCAAAUAUGCCCCCUUCGACCUACACAUGUACUCACUCCGGCCAAGCUUCUCCAAUUCGCUUAUAUCUAAAUGUCAAAAGCUCAGUUCCUCACAUCCUCAGAUCGUAUAUGUACCAAUUUCAGCCAAACUUCUUAGAUUCGUUUAGAUUUAAUAGUAUCCCUUAUUGCUUCUUUGAUUUGGCUUCCUGAUAUCUUUCGAUCCACUCUAGCUCAGUCCCACCUAUUCAGCCGUUUCGUGGUUUCCUUAGAUCCAUAGAACCUCUUUGUUCCAAUUUAGGUUUGUUCUUCGGAGUAAUCAGAAUUAAGUCCUAAAUCAAUAAGACAACUCUAGCCUUAAUGGAGAAAUAGUAUAUUAUUUGUCCUAUUCACACAAUUCUUGAUGGGACUAAUUAUCUCACUUGGGCAAAUCUAAUGAAAAACUUUCUAAUUGGACAAAAACUAUGACGUAUUGUUAUUGGUGAUAUUAUAAAAUCAACCAAAUAAUACAAGGAGGAUGAUAGUAAAUUUUAUUGAACGUCUCGAAGAAUGGGACAGUAAAAAUAACAAGAUUAUCACCUAGCUUGGAAACACAUCCUUCGAUAAUGCUAUGAGAUGUUUGUCUACACGCUUUAAAUCUAGUAGUUAUUCAACCUAUCUGGACUCAGCCCAAUCAAGACAAAUUAAUAUAGAUCAUCUUUGCCUUAUUAAGUUUUUUAUGGAUUACGUCCAGGUUAGGGUUGCCUUACUACAUUGUGGCCUCUUUGCCCUAAUUGAAUACAACUAUCUAAGAGAUUUCAUUUGAGGAAAAACGUCUUGGCACCAUUCUCACCAAACAAUUAAAUGUUUUUGCAAGCACUUAUCCACCGAAUGAAACAACCAUAUUUUGUACAAACUAUAAGCUUCUAUUCAUAAGUUUAUUGAUUGUCCUAAAAUAGUUUGAAGGUACUACCAUAAGUGUGGUCAUAUUUUAGAUAAUUGUCCCAUACGGCCAUCUUCCUUCAGGUUAUCUUAUAAAAGCAAGGAACUUUAAUGAACCUAGUAUCUCCUCUGUUGUUGCUGCUACUACCUUAGAUGAUUCAUCCUUCCCAAUCUUGAGAUUAGUUAAUUUCAUCUUCUUCCUCUGCUCUUGCCGUCUUACAAGGUAAUUGAUGGCUUCUUAAUUCUACCUGUUGCAACCAUAUGACAUCUGAUUGUUCUUUUAUGACUAUUUCUAGUCCUGCAAAAUCUUUACCUCCAAUUUAUGUUGCUAAUGACAAUUGUAUGAACAUCUCUCAUAUUGGUCAAUUGUGUGAUCUUGGCCUAACUAUUUCUUUUUCUCUCAAUAAUUGUGAGUUUAAGAUCCAUAAACGGGAUAGACGAUUGGUACGGGUCGUAAAGUGGAAAGAUUAUUUGAGCUCAUAUCACUCCAGCUUCCUUCUCCUUCAUAUAUCUGUGCUCCUGUCAUUGACUCUAAUACAUAUCAGUGACAUCUUUGUCUUGGUCAUGCGUCUUCUGAAAAACUUUGUCAUUUAAUUUUCCUUAACAAUUUGAAUAACAUUACUAAGUUUGUUCUUUUUAAUUGCUUAAAUUGUAUACUCGCUAAACAACAUGCUUUAUUUUUUUUCUCACUCCACUUCUAUAUAUGAUAAACCAUUUGAUUUAAUUCAUUCUAACAUUUGGGGUCCUGCCUCUACUACUACUAUUCAUGGUUAUUACUAUUAUGUUCUGUUUAAUGAUAAUAACUCUCGUUUUAUAUGGAUAUACUUUCUUAAACAUCGCUUUGAAUUAUCUCGAAUUUAUAAUGAGUUUGCUAACAUUGAUCCACACCCAAUUCUCGCAUCCAGUCAAAACCCUCAACACGGAUAAAUCAACGUAGUCUUAAGCGUGCAUCUUUUCAAGAGCCUGCAGUUCAUCUUUUCAAGAACCUGCAGUUCAUCUUUUCAAGGGUUAGUACUGGCCUCUUGAUAAGAGGUAGGUUCAACAAGGAAAACAAUAGUGGAAAAAUAGUGAUAUUCUUGGAGAUGAAUUAGAGGUUCCCUUACUGGAGUAGAAUGACGAAGAGUAGUAUCUAAAGUAGGCUUAGGAACAUCAUUGGAGACAGACAACUGGUUCGGGUUUGUAGGAGCAUGUGCAAAUUGAGUAAGCUCAAAUGUAUGAGUAAAGAAAAUAUGAGGACUUAAGAAGAGGUGUGGAAUGAGGACAAACGAGAUAACAUAGUAUGUUCCUAAAAGUUGACAUGACAAUAUAUAUGAAGUUUGUUGGAAAGAGGUUCUCAAUAACGAAAACCUUUAUGUUUUGUGCCAUAGCCAAUAAAGCAACGGAGACGGGCACAUGGUUCUAGUUUAAUGUGUUUUUUAGGAUGAGAAGAACAAAGCAUGCACAACAAAAAACUUUAAGGUUAGAGUAGUUGGGAGGAGUUCCAUGUAGUCUUUUGAAUGGAGAGAUGUUUCGAAGAAUAUAAGAAGGAAGAUCGUUAAUAGUAUAGACAGAUGGAUGUAAGAGUAGUCUCGCCCUAAAAUUUCUCAAGACAUGAGGCAAAAAGAAGUAGGACACGAACCGAGUCAAGAAUGUGGCAUUGAAUGAGAGUAGCCUUACUGGGAGAGAAGAAAGAAGGGUGAAGUCUUUAUGCUCCAAGGCAUUAUUAGUGUAGAUGGUUUUGACAGGAUGAGAGAAUUGAGUGUGGAUUAUGUUAGUAAACUCAAUAUAAAUGCGAGAUAAUUCAAAGCAAUGUUUAAGAAAAUAAAUCCAUGUAAAACGAGAGUAAUCAUUAAUGAACAUAACUUUAGCAAUAAUCGUGGACAAUAGUAGUAGGAGCAGGACCCAAAUAUCAUAAUGAAUCAAAUCAAAUGGUUUAUCUAGAAGUGGUGUGAGAAAAAGAUAAAACAGGUUGUUUAGCGAAUUUGCAAUUUAAGUAAUUAAAAGGAACAAACUUAGUAACGUUAUUCAAAUUAUUAACGAAAAUUAAAUGACAUCCUUUCAGAAGAAGCAUGACCUAGACGAAGAUACCACUGAUAUGUAUUAGAGUCGAUGACAGGAGCAAAGAUAGAUGAAUGAGAAGGAAGCUGGAGUGAUAUGAGCUCAAAUAAUCUUCCCACUUUGCAACCAUCUGUGGAUCCUGAACUAACAAUCAUUGGGAGAAAAAGAAAUAGUUAAGCCAAGAUCACACAAUUAACCAACAAACAUAAGAUUAAAGAUUAAGUUUUGGAUAUAGUAAGUAGAUUAAAGGUUAAGUUUGGGAUAUAGUAAGUAUGGAGAAGACUCAGACCAGGAGUAUUGAUGGUGCCAAUAUGAGAAAUGUUCAUACAAUUGCCAUCAACAUCAUAAAUUGGAGGAAAAGAUUUUGCAAAACUAGAAGUAGUCAUAAGAGAAAAAUCAGAUGUCAUAUGGUUGCAAUAGCUAGAGUCAGGAAGCCAUCGAUUACCUGGUGAUAUGGCAAGAGUAGAGGUAGAUGAUGAAAUUAACUAAUUUAAUAAGCUUUGAAGAUCACUUAUCUGAAGAUUGGGGGAAGAAUCAUCUGGGGAAGUACUAGCAACAAUAGAGGAGGCACUGUGUUUAUUAAAGUUCCUUGCUUUUGUAGGAUAGCCUGGAGGUCGAGGUGGUUGUGUGGGACAAUUAUUCAGAAUAUGACCAUGAUUAUGGCAGUACUUAGGGAAUCAAUAAAUUUAUGACAAGAGAGCUUAUAGUUUUUACAAAAUGUGGUUGUCACUCUAUUGGGUGGAUAAGUGCUUGUAAGAACAUUUGAUUAUUUGAAGGGAAUGAUGCCAAGACAUUUUUCCUCAAAUAAAAUAUCUUGGAUAGAUGUAUCAAAUGAGGGCAAGGGGUUGCAAUGUAGUAAGACAACCAUAACAGAUUCAUAGUCUGGACAUAAUCUCAUAAGGAGCUUAGUAAUGCAAAGAUUUGAUCUGUACUAAUUUUGGCUUGAUCGAGUCGAGUCCAGAUAGGUUGAAGAACUGCUAGAUAUUCAUAAACAGACUGACCAACAUAUUGAUUGAGAUUGAUAGGGUACUUUACAAUUGAUAGUAAUGAGUACUCCGAUAGAUUUAAAACAUGUAAUAAAAAAUUCCAUAAUUUUUUAGCAUUAUCGAAGGGAUAGAUGUGUUACCAAGUCUGAGUUUUACUGUCCCAUUCUUCGAGACAUUCAAUAAAUUUAGAAAGCUUUUCAUUUGAUUUGUCCGCGUGAGAUAAUUAGUCCCAUUAAGGACUGUGUUAAUAAGACAAACAAUAUGGUUUUUCUCCAUUGAGGCUAGAGCUAUCUUGGUGAUUUAGGACUUAGCUAAAUUGUAACUACCAUGAAGAACAAAUCUAAACGAGCAAAGAGGUACUAUGGAUCUGAGGAAACCACACAAUGACUAAUUAGAAGGGAUUGAGCUAGAGUGGAUCAAAGGGAAUUAGAGAGUCGAAUCAGAGAAGUAAUAGGGGACUGUCAAAUCUAAAUGGAUUCGAGGAGCUUGACUGAAGUUGGGACAUAUACGGGUCUGAAGAUGUGAGGAACUAAGCGUUUGACGUUCAGAUAUGAGCGAAUUAGAGAAGCUUGGCGGAGUGGGUACAUGUGUGGGUCGAAGGGAGCAGAUUUUAGCAGAUCUGAGAAGUUUGGCCAGAUCGUGUCGAAUGGAUCUGGGAAAGGACUAGCCGGUGGUGUAUGACUUAUUUGGGAAAAGACUGGUCGAUGGGUUCUGGUACAAUGCUGGUGGGCAGCGACUGGUACAAAUCUGAUAUAGGGUUGGCGUUGUCAAGGGGGAAGCUAGGUUAAACUUUUAGGCUUUAAUACCAUGUGAAAAAUAUUUUAUUGAUUAUCUUUUAAUGUAUAUUUUACAUGAGGAGUAUGAGUCCAUGUAAAGCAUUUCUAUUUAAUAAUAAUGGUUAUAUGUGUUGUGUCUCCUCUUCAUGUUCUACGGUUAGUUUCCCAAAUUUGACUAAUUUUAGAAUGGAUGAAUCUUUGCUGUCUCUUCUUCAUGUUUUAUAGUUAGCUUUCCAAAUUUGAUUAAUUUUAGAAUGGAUAAAUCUUCACUUUAGUCUCUAUUUCGUAAAACAAGUUGUUAUUGAUAAUGUCUUUUUAUAUGUGAUAUUGUCUUAUUCACUUAGGUAGGGAUUUUGUAUUUUGAUACUUGGAAGGGAUAUACAUUUUUGCCAAUUCUAAGGUACUUUAUAUCUAUCAUUUAUGUCCCUCUGGACUAGUUUGAAUGACAGGUGAAUAUACUUGACCCUUGAUAUAGGUUCAUUAAAAAUUCAUUUUUUUUUCAAUUAUUGCAACACAGAUAUAGGCUCUUCUGAACGUUCAAGGAAAUGAGUGGAGAGAAAAAAAAAGCUAGCUUUGUUUGUGAUUACUAAAGGAUGAACUUGAAGGUCGGCACUAAAUGAAGGUGAAGUUCUUUAGCAUGUAUGUAUUAAUCUUUUUAACCAAUUAUGGUCACUUGAUCUUUACUUUAUUCCUUAAAUCUGCGGAUAUUUUUGUUUUUUUUUUCAAAUGAUUGAUGAAAUAAAAUUCUUUGAAUGAUAAAGAACCACUAUAUUCAGUCACUCACAAACUGUCGAGGUAUGCGAGAAUUUGCUUGUCACUUGUUGGAAGAUUCGGACAGGUGGGUUUGAAUUUUGAUAUUGCAAUUAAGCAUAUUUUGUCUUUGUCUUAGGUUUUCAACAAUUUGGUUGUUGAUUAUUCAAUUUUAUUUGAGAAGAAGAGCAUUUUGGCACCAUUGUUACAGACUCAAUUUGUUUGAACUUUCUCAUAUUCUACUAUCAAGGUACCACUAUUAAGGUAGUGAAAAGGUCUAUUGAGUUCGAGUUUUCUGUAGGGAAUUACUCAGGCAAAGAUUUUUGUUCACAAUUAAAACACUAUAGAAGUUGAGAUAUUCCUUGAACUUAACCCUUACUUGUAAUGUUCAAUCCAUAUGUGUGUGCUUGUAACUCGAUGACUGUGGGGGCAUUUGAUAUAUAUAUACUCCAUGUAAAGCAUUUCUAUUUAAUAAUAGGGGUUAUAUGUGUUGUAUCUCCUUCAUGUUUUAUAGUUAGCUUCUCAAAUUUGACGGAUGAAUAUCUUUACUUCUCUUCCUCAUGUUUUAUAGUUGGCUUUCGAAAUUUGAUUAAUUUUAGAAUGAAUAAUUCUUCACUUUAGUCUCUAUUCUCUUCAACAAGUUAUUGAUUUUGUGCUACAUCCUCUCCUUCCCCUUCUCUUUUUUAGAGGUUUCAAAGAAAGUUGGCUAUGAAAUUGUUGGAAAAAAAAAGAAAUUGGGAGUCUCCAGACGUCGUCAAGCGUCAGUAUAUAUGCCCAAAAGCAUCCGAAAAGGAUCUCUCAAUGUACAUAGUGCCGUCGGGAAAGGAAGUUGGUAGUAGUGCGUCGAUGACGGAACUCUCGAAGUGCAAACAAAAAGGCGUUGGGAAUGCCUUACUCCCGACGUUGUCAAGGCCGACGAUGGAGCACAUCGGCAAUAGGGGACUUUCGAUGUCCCCUUCUUGAGUCAAGAGAAACGUGCUCCCGAUGCGACGUUGCUCGAAGGUUGCCCGACGUGUUGCUCACGACGUCGGGAGAAGGGCAUCAAUCCUGACUCCUUUGGUGCGUUGGGAGAUAUUUUUAACGUAUACAUAUUUUAAAUUAUAUUAUUCAUUUUUUUAUUAUCAAAGUACCAUUGUAAUUUAUAUAAUUAGAAACUAAAUCUAAAUGUCUGAACAAUUACGAUUGUUUAAAUUGUUUUAAGCAAUUACAUAAAAAAGAAAAAAAAAUACACUAUCUUUUAA